AUUCUUACCUGGCAGGAGAGACAAGGCAAGCACGAAGGUAGUUUUCCCCAGAUGAGGCUUCUCCAUUGCACUCCUAUGUGCUGAUUCCAGAAAGUCUCCCAAAUGUGACAAGUUACUGUGUCACAUUAUGGUAGUUGGAGACUGUGCAAAUUUCCUU
ensembl:snRNA U1 U1 spliceosomal RNA